UACGGGGGGGGCAAGCGUUGUUCGGAAUUACUGGGCGUAAAGGGCGCGUAGGCGGCCACGACAAGUCACUUGUGAAAUCUCCGGGCUUAACUCGGAACGGUCAAGUGAUACUGUCGGGCUAGAGUGCAGAAGGGGCAACUGGAAUUCUCGGUGUAGCGGUGAAAUGCGUAGAUAUCGAGAGGAACACCUGCGGCGAAGGCGGGUUGCUGGGCUGAUACUGACGCUGAGGCGCGAAAGCCAGGGGAGCGAACGGG
rnacentral:rRNA from 1 species